rnacentral:lncRNA from 1 species
CUCGAUGACGCUGUAGCUCUCCACGUAAUCGACGUGUUCGUCCUGCGGCUCGCUGGCGAUCUGCCGCAGCGUGGCCUUGUCCACGCUGCCCACUCCGAUGGCGAACAGCUCGACGCCGCUGGCCCGGGCCCGCGCAGACACGUCCUGCACGCUGUCCUGGGGCCUCCCGUCUGUCACCACGAUGACCACCUGCGACACGCGGGGCGGUGUGACACCGGGCUCCCGGAAGCCCACGGGACUGUCCAGGAGAGGAGGCUGAGGCCCGGAGAGGCGGGAGGACUGCCGGGUCGCACAGCCAGGCGGCACCCGGGGGAAGAGGACCCGGCUGGCCGAAGAGGAGACCCGUUUCCUCUGACUGAGAGACGUGGCUGGGGGGCUUUCCAUCUGCUUCGCCUCCCUCGGGCAGGCAGCUCUGAGAUGCCCGGAGGGAUGUGAUGCCCCAUCGCCAAAUUGGGGUCUCUAAGCUAUGAAAUGGCCACCUCACGGGGCAUCAUGGGAAUCAAAGUGUCUGCAGGCAAAGCUCAUAACUCCGAGCGGGAGCCUCCAAACAGCAGCAUCCUAGCAGGGUGGCGUGCACGUACCUUGCUGAUGUCAGGGGACCUGGAACGACCACCCUCUGCAUCGCCGAAGGCUUUGGUGAUAGCGAACUGGAUGGCCAGGCCGGUCAUGGUGCCUGUGGACAGCGGCUGGAUACGGCGCACAGCCUGCAGCAGUGCGGCCUUGGAGACAUGAGCCCGCAGCGAGAACUCCUGCUUCACGGUGCUGGCAUAGUUGACCAUGCCCACCCGGGUGGCAUUGGGCCCCACGUCCAGCGACUCGAUGACCUGGGACAGGAAUACCUUCACUUUCUCAAAUUCAACAGGCCGAACGCUGCGAGAGCUGUCGACAACAAACACCAGGUCUGUGGGCCGCGUCCGGCAGAGAUGGCCUGGGAGUGGGGCAGGAGGGGUAAGGCAGAGAGCAGAGACACAGGUCAGGGACUGGGCCUGAACACACAGAGUGCGGCUUCUUAGAUCCAGGUGCGAGGCCUCGGGCCCAGUAGGCUGCAAACUUCAGCUGGGCAGCUGAGCCCUUUUAUCAACAUGCAGACACCAGCAAGCAACUUGCCAAAGGCCCCCUGCUCAGCCCAUGGGGAACACAGAGGGCCAAGCCUGGCCUUGGGCCAUUUGCUUCACUUCUCUGAGCCUCAGUUUCCUCAUCUGAGCAGUGAGCUAGCAAUCCCUCCUUACAGGAUGUUUUGAGGAGCCAGCAGGGGGCCAGGCAAGCAAUGAGUAUUCCAGGGGUGGCAAAGGACCCUGCGGCCUUGAAAACACAUUUAGGUUUCAGCCCAGACUUGCUGCCAGAAACAAGGGCAGCUAUUUCUUCUAGCUGGGCAGGAGGGCACCAAGGAUGGGCCCUCCAGGCAUGGGCACAGGCUUGAGAGCCAAAGCAGUGCCCGUCAACAUGGCCUCUUUCAUCUGAGCAUCAAAGCAAAUCACCAAAGUGGAACCAGUUUCCCUCAGCCUGGCAGCGCCUGCUGGCGGGUUGCCAAAGACAGGGAAAAGGAGCAGGAAUUCCUGGUGGCCACCUCGGCAGCCUGAUCAGGUGCACACCAAGACACACCCCCGAGGAGCAAUGUCCUCCAGAGACCCAAGAAGGCAGCACCCUGUGCUGGGAAGUAUGCAGGGUCAGAGUGAGUUCAGGCCUGGGUUCAAAUCCUGGCUCAGCCACUCUGUGGGGCCCUGGGCAGAUCAUUGCACCUUUCUGAGCCUCCGUGAUCUCACAUGUCCAGUGGAGAGAAUAAGGCUACUGUCACUGGCCUGGGCCUGCAGUCAGGAAGGUCUCACUACAAAGGCCCUUCCCUCCCCAUCCCAUGCGGAGUCUGAACUGAGCAGAGCCAAUCCCAAAGAGGAAAGGGGAAACGUGCAGGGCCGUCCCAACCCCCAAGUCACAGUAACUCACAGUGCCCUAGACUGGGGCUCUGGACAUCAGAGUUCCUCAGGAGACCUUAGAAAUCACCAUGCAGCAGGCUCCCUGCUGUCUACUCGCUAAGGCUACAAAUGGGUAAACUGAGACCCAAAGAGGGAAAGGGAAUUGGCCACACCGUACAGCAGUAGAUCAAUAACCUAGAGGCUCUGGCGCUAUCUCACUGUGUGGUCUUAGGCCCUCACUGACCUCAGUUUCCCCAUCUGUACAGGAAGAAUGGGCAUUCCAGGACUCAGUGCCCAAACCUGAAACUCUGGGGGGUGUUAUUGCCCCCAGGGAGCCCAAGGCUGGAAGGACCUGCAAAGGGGGCAUGAGCUCUUGGCAUCCCAGGUCUGCUGUCAUCAAAGAGCCAUGGGCUCAGCCCUGGGCUUGGUGCAGCUCCAGACGUCAGCCAGCUCUCUGAGUAGCUUCUGCUCCCCAGAGACCUGGAAGACCAAGGUCCCUGCCUCAUGCAUGGUCCCUGAGGGCUGAGGAGCACCCCUGCCCUGACCCUUAUAAGCACCAUGGUCCCUGUCUGCUCCUGCACCAGCCCACUGCCCACCACUGCCGCCCUGCUCCCUUCCCCAUCCUGGAUCCCGUGUGCUCCCUGCCAUAUCGGUACCCAGCCCCCAGUGCUGAGGGUCAGGGCCCACUAGCUCAGUAGCCCCCAUCUCACGCAAGCCCCCUCACCUCUGGACUGGGGGGCGAGGCCAGGGCUGCACAGGGCCUGGAGCAGCAGCAGCAGGCUGCAGAGCAUGAGGCUAGUGCCAGAGAGGACCCUCAUAGUUCUGGCAGCACGGGCAGCAGCCGGCACGGUUGUGGGACCAGUGGGGUCCAGGUCUUAUCAACCCCACUGCCCGCCCAGCCUUUGGGUCAGGUGGCCCCCAACUGACGACUGACGUGGGGGCAGCCCGCCCUGGCCCCCAGCCCCCCCAAAGGGCGGGGCUUGGGCUGAAUGGAGGUGUGUGUGCCCUGAGAGGGCGGGAGAGCCUGGCCCAGGCUUCAGAGGCCCCUCUGACCACAAGGGCUCCUUUGCUUGCAGAAGCAACUAGAGCGGCAGCUGGAAUUUGGGAAAUCUCAGGUGGGUGGGGGGUGGCUCUUCCAGGGGCUGGAGCCCGCGCUGCCUUGAAGCUCCACCCCAAGCCUAGGCAUACCUGAGUCCAAUGGCCCGGCCCAGCCCUGUCCUGCACCUUCAUCCCACACCCAAAUCCUUCCCCCACUCACAACCCCAAGUUUCUCAUUAAAUUCACUUCCCCUUCCCCAGCCUCACUGUGCCCUGCUCUCCGCACACGCCCUGCUCUCCAGCUACCCCUGGAUUCUCCUCGAAGGCCUCCAGGCCAUCACACAUGCAGGGCCAUCUGCCCAGAAUCCUUUCCUCUCACUAACUCUCUGCCUUGUAGAAUCUUUCAAGGUCAUAAUUAGGGCUAACAUGUACCUUCACUGUUAGUAUGGGCAGGGCAGUGGAGACCAUGGUUAAGAGCACAGACUUGGGAGCCAGGUUACCUGGGUUUGCUAUACCAGCAAACCACCUGUGUGACCAUGGGCAAGUGACUUCACCUCUCAUGUCUCAGAUUGCUCAUCUGGAAACUAGGGAUGGUAAUAGCGCCUCCUAGGGUUGAUUCAAGGAGCAAAGGAGUUAGAUGAGGUUUCUCAGUUAAUCCUCUUGACAACUUUUUAAAGCAGCUACUGUUAAAGAACAGAGAGGUAAAAUAACUUGUCUGAAGUUACACAGCUAAGAAGUGUUAUUGCCAGGAUAGAGCCCCAGGCCCGGCUCUCAGCCAUGCUGCUGUCUCAGUGUAGCUUGAUGUAGGUGGCUUCUCCCUGCCCAUCUCUUCCCCCUGUGGGUCCCUGCUUGGCCCACCUCACCUGUCAGCCAGUGGAUUCAACUCUGCAUCAGGCCCAGCACAGAGAAGGCAAAGAUAAAGCCUUCUAAACAAAGUAACAUCAGCAGGAACGAUCCCCUUCUUUGCAUUUGGGUCAAGUAGUUCAUGAGAUAGAGCAGAAAGAGCAUGGGCUUGGCUACCUGAGAGAUCCAGGUUCAAAGCCACUUCUGCUCCUAACUGGCUGUGUGACCUGGAGCUGGUGACUUAACCUCUCUGAGCCUCAGCUUGCCAUGGUGCAGUGGGAAUGGUCGUUCUUGAUCUGCCUGCCCCAUGUGAGGGGCAAGAGGGGGACAGAAGUGGAAAUGGAGUUAAAGGAUUGUCAUUGCUCCAGGAGGCAGAAUCCUAAGACUUGGGACCUAUGCACUUCACUCUGUGUAAAUUAUACCUCAAUAAAAGGAAAUGUACAGACAAAAAGCGACUGCUGGGUGCAGCAGACCCAACUCACCGCUACCACACUCUUUAGCAAUAAUUAUAACAAUCCCUUCCACCCUUGACAUGGCAGUUACUCAUUCUAUCACUCUAUCUCAUUUGCUCACCCAACAAACCUGUGAAGUCAGCAGAUUUGAGUCUCUUGGCCCAUUUGUCAGAUGGAGAAACUGAGGCCCAGAGAGGUUCACUGACUUACCCGAAGCCACCAGCCAGUUUAGGGGCAGAGCCAAGCCUAAAGCUCAGGCCUCACUCCCCUUUGCACCAGUGUUAGAGAAGGAGGAGGUUAAGAGCAUUGCCUUCUGACUUUUUCCCCUUAUAUUUCAUGUGUGCCUAAUUCACUGCCCUCCCCAAUUCCAAAAACCACUUGAAGCUGCUGAUUCCUUUUUCUGCUACAACUUUGAAGUCGAAUUCUUCUCCAGAGAUGCUGCAAGGUGUGAUGAUGGUGGUGCCUCUCCCUUCCCAAAAUGGUGUAAUUAAGGUGUUACCUGUCUCCCCAAGGACGUGAGCUCCCUCCGAGCAGGGGGCUUGCCCGUCUCAGUCACCACUGAAUCCCUGGGACCCAGCAUGGUGCCUGGCACAGGAUCUCUGGUAAGCAAAUGAAGGAAUGAAUGAAAACUAACUACGAACCUGUUCCAUUUCCCUAUAAACCACCCAGGGUCACACAAGGGCCAUCCACGGUGACCAGCGGUGAGAAACGCAAUGCUGUCCUCGUGCCAUGCUGGAGGUGAACGAGGAGAACGUGAGCUGGGGUCUCCUCACCAACUGCUCCCCCCACCCCAACCCCCCUGACGGCCAGGGCUGUGUCCAGGGCUCAGGGCACAAGGCUCCGUUAGCUGGGCAGCAGCUGGCCCAUGAAACAGCCCUUUCAGCUCCACCUCUGAAUGGCAGUUCUAUGGGCUCCUCGGAAGAACACAGGCGCCUUCUCUGUGUCACUUCUCCGCUCAUUAGCAGAGCUGCAGAAAUACACUACAGGACUCAAAAUUGAGAACAGUGUGUCCGGUAUGAGCCAGAAGGAAAAAAAAAUGCACGAAGGGGCCUUCUGCAAGGUUGCUCACAAGUCAAACAGGCAGCUGUGAAGGGCUCUGCUGUUCCCUCCUCCUGUUUUCACAUCCCUCGGGCUUCCAGAAACUUAAAGCCGUUAGUGUUUCAUGCAAGAGAGAGCAUCUGUGAUCCACGGAGAGGCCCCUGGGCAGUGUGGUUCAGUGGGAAGCACACAGGACUCCCUCCCCAGUGCUCCCAGGAUCAGCUCUUUCCCUAAAGAGCAAACCUGGUUAUCUCGCAAUGACCUAGCUAACACAAAUGCAACAUCAGCCGGGGCAGCCUGCCCCCUUCACUCUUUGCCCACCAUCAGCUGUUUGGCAGUAUCCAUAUACGCCUUUACCAGUAUUUAUUUAAUCUUUUUGUUUAAUUCACUCUAAACCAACUCACUUCUUAAAAAUUUCUCUGCCUUAUAAGAAAUAAUAGCCAUGAAAUCACUGGUUUGAUGUACGGUUUAUUUAUUUAUUCCAAUAAACACUCAUUCAAUAUAAAAUUCAAAUAAAUUCAAAACUAAUUAAAUUUAGCUUUUUCAUCCACAUAUCACUGAAAAUUUUCUUGUUUUCUGCCAGUGGCAUGCACGACAGACUUUGAGGAAUCCUGUGAAGUGAAACGGCUUUAGAAUCAAAGAGAGCUGGGCUUGAGUCCCCCUCUGUCACAGGCCAGCCAUGGUGACUUCCGGUAAAUCCCUCCUUUUUCUGCCUGUUUCAUGUCAGUAGCAUUGGAAUCCUAAUGCUAAUGCCACAGGAAGGUUGUAAGGAAGAAAUGCAGUGAAUGCUACAUCAAGCGUAUUGGGCUUUUUGUUUUAGUUUUUUCCUUUUUUUUUUUUUUUUUUUUUUUUUAGGAUGGGGUCUCACUCUGUUACCCAGGCUGGAGCGCGGUGGCACAAUCACAGCUCACUGCAGCCUCGACCUCCCGGUUUCAGGUGAUCUUCCCACCUCAGCCUCCUGAGUAGCUGGGGCCAUAGGUGUUCACCACCAUGCCCAGUGAAUUUUUUUUUUUUGUAGAGACAGGGUUUCACCGUGUUGCCCAGGUUAGUCUCGAACUCUUGAGCUCAAGUGAUCUGCCCACAUUGGCCUCCCAAAUCGCUGAGAUUACAGGCGUGAGCUACCGUGACAGGCCAAUGCUUAUUAUUUUUACAACGCCUUCUUUUAUCAGUCAGGCUAGGAUAGGCUAUGUUGCAAUAGCAGACAUGCCCCCCAAAUCACAAUGGCUUAAUACAGGGUUUGCUUCUCUCUCCUAGCACCGUCCAGUGCCAGGUGGGUGCCCCCCACAUAGGCCCUCUCCAAAGCUGCCUCCACCAUUUCCAAGUCCUUGUCUCAGGCCAUGUGGACAAGAGAGAGACAGCAAGCAUCUCUCUUAACUGCCUCAGAGAAGGAGUACACAUUACCUGACUCUACCUGGAUGCCCAGGGCCAGGAUAUGGCAUUUAGUUAGCAGUGACAGUCUCUGUCACCAUUGCCGGGGGGAAAGCCUUUGUUAGCACUGGAUCACCUCUAGAUGGAAAUUCAGACUUGGCUGGCAUUUAAAGCUCUUCACUGUCAGCUUCCUUCCACCUUCCAGGCCAUUGUCAGUCUUUCUCUUUCUCUCCCUCUCCUUCCCUCCCUCCCUCUCCCUCUCUUCUCUAGUCUUUCCCUUUCUCCCCCUCUCCUCCCCUCCCACCAUCUCCCUCUCUUCUCUAGCACUGAAUGAGUCACUCUCCUGUUUUCAGAGCCUCCCAGAUAGACUCCAGCCCUCUCACUAGCUCCCUAUCAGAGUUUGCACUCAAUGCAUGGUGACCCAUUUUAUUUGUAGGGAAAUGUGAAACCCUGAAGCUCAGACUCUGAAGGAAACUCAAAGGUCAUCUACACCUGGCCACCCAUGCUACUCACCUGGUUGUUAAAAAUACAAGGUCCACCCCUGCUACGUGCCUUCUCGGGGCCAGAGGGUCAGCCCUCACCCCAGGAGCGACUGCGAGAGCUUCCCACGGGGAAUGGCCCCUGUAAUCAAUCACACUGGAAGAAGAAAUGAGCAUCUGGAGGAGCGGGCUCAGGUUUAGCACUGGGAACUCUAGCUGGCCCAGUUAAUGCCCCAACCCAUGGCCCUUCAGCCCACUGUGGGUUCAGCUCACCUACAGCUGCAGGCAGUUCCCAGGGACGCAAGCAGUGGGCCAGGCAGCCUGGGGAUUUAACAUCCCCAGGUAUAACCCGCAACCUGCAGGGAUCAGAAGACCCCAACGUCCCCAUCCCCCAUUGAACAGUUCUGAGACACGCUCCUCGCCGUUCCUCAGAAGGUCCCCAGCAGGAGUGAGCCGCGGUUGCCCACAGAGGUGACCAGCUUAUUCAUGCACAUUGUAUUGGCUUUUAUCCUGUCCCCACCUCACUUCCCCUCACUGUAUUUCCUGGGAUCACCUCCCAAAUAAGCUACCUGCACCCAAGUCCUUUUCUCAGGAUACCCGGUCACAUCUCCAGGCCUUGGCCCAGCUGUUUUCCAGCCUCGCAUGUCCUCCCAGCACAUAGAGCAGAGGAAGCAGCAGGCGAGUGUUCUGUUCGACUAUCUGGGCCACUGAGAUGGCAGCAAAAUUGUUUCCCAGGUGGAUGUUGUUUAUUUAUUUAGAACUGUGGCUCCCUCGUGCCAGCAGCUCUCUGCUAUGCCCACUGACCAUCGGCGUGCUCUUGGUGGCUAAUUAGGGAGACUUCUUCCUGGGACCCGGGAGACAGACUGGAAUGUGAGCACUGGUUCCCAGAGAGCCCAUCCGGGAGGGCAGCGGGCAAGGCCUGUGGCUGCAGAGACACACAGUGGCUGCUGCUUAUACCCUCCGCAGAGGCCCUGCUGCCACCCAAAGACCCAAGGAGAACCCGAGGGUGGGUCCUGCCCCUGACUUCCUUUAACCUGACUGCUUUUCUUGACACUUAAACGGUUUCAUUGCAAAUUGGAGACACUGCCAGAGUACCGGAUUGGACAUGAAUCUCUGGUCUUCCCAAAAGUCAGGCAGAGAUGUGGAGGGGCCCACAGUCACAGGGCAGAUUCCUCACCUGCAAAGUGGCCAUGCUCAUCGCCCCAUCCAGGAGCCUGCAGUGCAGCUGGGCUGCUCCUCCUGCCCAGGCCCCAUUCGGGCCACAGACCCCAUGAUCUGAGGUGUCACAUGUGGUUCAUGACACCUCCCAUGUGCUAUCUUGGUCUCAGGCCCCACGCAUGGUCAGCCAAACUGGAAUCCAGGGUGAGGAGGCGUGUGCUUUCAUCUGCCGGCCUGUCUGGGGAGGCCACGGAGCAGCAGCACAUCCUUCUGAUGGGUUAACACCUGGGUGAUACCAGCCCAACCUGAUAUCCCACCCACAUGUCCAAAGAUAGCACUCACAUCUCAACCUGCCUCCCUCCUCGCUCUCCUAAACUCCAGACCUAGAGACCCAGCUGCUUCCUGAGCACCUCCCAUUAUAUGUCCCCCAAGGAAGCGCAAAUCUAGCCCCACCAAAACGCGAUGCAUCCUUUGCCAUCCCCCGUUUCGCAUCCUCUGCUCAGAGCUGGGCACCACCAUCCGAGGGUCCGCAACAUCCAAAAGCUCCCUGCUGCCUCUGAGGCCUCCUGCUUCUGCCAGGGCCCUCCCAAGAGGGCUCAGAGCCUGGAAUAGGAAUUAAAUGAGGGCCUUGUGAGGUAGAAAUUCCCAGAGGAAGGGCGAGGUUACCCAGAAAGGUCUAGAGAGACAAGCUCAGGUCCAUUUGGGUGGACUGAAGUCCAAGCCCAGGUCUGCCCCUUGGCCAAUGCGUGACUGUGGGCAGAGGCAGCCCCUCCCUGAACCUCAGGAAUGAUCACCACCCAGCACCUGCUGCGUGAGGCCACUGGGAGCUUUGUGGAGCCAGCACACUGAAGGGCCCACUCAAUUACGGGGACCCUUCCUGCUACCAUCACAGCUCCCGAGAAACCUGAAGUUGCCCCGCUUAGCACCCCAGGUUUAAUUUUACCAGCUCUUUUUUCCCUCCAAGAGACAACCACUCCAGGCUGCCCUCACCUGCCCAGGCCUGGAAGCAGCCCCCUCUGUCCUGGGGCCGGCUCCUUUCCAGGCAUGAAGCUCAAACAGGCGCUGUCAGUGGGUCCAAACCAUCGCAGCCCCGUCAAAGGACCCCUGUGUGAGCCUCAAACGGGGCAUUGAUAGGGCCUCAGUGAGGGCUGCCCAGGCGAUCGUGGGCUCGCUUGGCUUGGCUAGCCAUGCGGACUUCCCCAAACCCAGCUAUUUCCUGUCCCUCGGGUGGCCCCCUCCCAGCUGCCUGGCCACAGGGCACAAUCCCACUACACAGCUCAGCCUGUUCUUCGGCUCCAGGCCAGAGGUGGGAGUCGGGGAAGGCGGGAAGGACGGGAGAGUCGCGCCGGGAAGUUCAGGGCCUCCUGGUCCUUGUGACACACGCAGCCAUGGCCCUUCAAUCUCCUUGUGAUAGGAUGCAAGGCUGGGCCAAUGUCUCUCCUCCCGUGACCUCUGCUCCCAAUCCACACUUGCCGGGGCUUCUCAGCGGGCCCUCUUCCCAUGGGUCUUUGCAAGAAGCAACAACUGACACAGACUGGGCCCCAGCCCGUCUAAAAGCCUCCACUCGGAGUAGAAAAAAAAGGUGCUUGGUCUCAUCUCUGACCACUGUGUGGCCUCAGGAAAGUCACUUGAUGUCUCUGGGCCUCUGCCCUCAAGUGUGAACAGGAGCUCGCUUUCCAUUUCUGUGAAUUACACUGCACCAACUGCUUGGGGGUCUGAUAAGGAGCAAAUAACAUCCAUGAAGAAAUCUGCCAUUCCACAAAAAAACUGACACCACCAGAAGGUUGACAAUGCCUCUCAAACUCAUCCCCGUCCCUGCCGCCCCAUAGGAUGACUUCCCCAGCCUUUGUAGGGGUCCCUGCAUUUGGGCUCUUCCUUCCUAAAACCCAAACCUUGUAACUCCUUGGCCCAAAAUCCUUCAAAGACACCUGUCUCAGGAUUAGUCCAUGUUCCUCGGUGUGACAUUCAAGGCUCUGAGGGCUCUUUUGGUAUUGGUGACAGAUCCCAAUUCAAACAGCCCUGGUCUCUUUAUUAACUUUACUUUCAGGUAAGUCCUCAACAGCUCAGCCACACCGGGGAGAAAAGAUAAGAGAUGGAGAAACAGAGAGACAUUAUUAAAGAGUUGUAGUCCUGGAUCCUGCCAUACCUGAAGCCAAAAAUCCCUGGAUUUUUUAUUUGUAUGAGAGCCAAGAAACAUCGUGAACCACCUUCUGGUUUCUCAUAAUAAACUUGGCUCAUAAGGCUUCUGUUACUUGCAACCAUGUCCUUCCUGUAAAUUCCCUUCUUGGCUGAACUUAGCCAGGGUGAGCUUGCACCUAAAGAGCCCCACUGUGUGCAAACACUCUUCCUGACCCAGCCCCACAGCGGGCCGACCUCUUCUCCCUCCCCUCCCCACUUGCAGCCACGCUGAGCAGCUCGCCCCAGCUCCUCUCCCCAAUGCCAUAGAGUCUUUGCGUGUCCUGCUACCUAGACCUAGAGCACCCUUCCCAUUCUGCUUACUGCUGCCUUCUCAUCCUUCAGACUCCACUUGGUGACAGCCUCCAAGAGGCUUUCUCUGGCCCUCAGGCCACGUCUGAGGUCCCCUAGGCUUUCCCUAUCGUGGCAGCCCUUUUGCAGAUCUGUCCCUCCUACCGCAGACUGGGGGGAACUGGAGGCGAGUCUCAUCUGUUGAGGUCUUCCCCAGUGUCCAGAGCAGGACCCAGCCCCAGGGGAGUGGAGUGCACGCCUGAUUAGGGAGACAUCAGGGUGCAUCAUCUUGGGCUGUGGUUCAUGAUCAGACAGCAUUGGGUCAGGACCACCCCUCGCUCAGCAUGGCCCAUGGGAGGAGUUUCUGGAUGGAGCAACUAGGUAUGUGUGAGUGUUUACAUGGGUGUGUGGGGGUGGGCGUGUGUGGAGGGGUGUGGGGGGUGUGAGUGUGUGGGUAUAUGGGGGGUGUGUGGGUGUGUAGGCGGUGG